AUGUCUGAUUCCAAUUACAUGACAUCUCGAGCAAUCCUUUCCACGACAAACGACAAUGUCAACAAGAUAAACAUCCGCAUGAUAGACCGUUUUCAUGGAGAUGAAGUAAUCUACCAUAGCUUUGACAUUGCAGAGGACGACCCAUAUGGCUACUACGCUCAGGAGUUUCUUAAUGGAUUGACUCCUAAUGGUCUUCCUCCGCAUGCACUCAAGCUAAAGUUGAACUGCCCUGUCAUACUUCUAAGGAACAUUGAUCCAGCUAAUGGACUGUGUAACGGCACUAGGCUUGUUGUAAGAGGUUUUGAGAGGAACACCAUUGAUGCAGAAAUCGUGAUUGGUCAACACGCUGGCAGGAGGGUCUUCCUUCCUCGAAUACCUCUUUGCCCAUCUGAAAAUGACAUGUUUCCGUUCAAGUUUAAGAGAAAGCAAUUUCCUAUAAGGCUUAGCUUUGCUAUGACCAUUAACAAGGCUCAAGGGCAGACCAUACCGAUAGUUGGUGUCUACCUACCCAAUCCCGUGUUCUCUCAUGGUCAGCUCUAUGUUGCUUUGUCUCGAGCCACUGCAAAGAGAAACAUAAAGAUACUCAUUCAGAAGGAGAAGCCAAAGGAGAAGGCCAACAAGCUAAAGGACAAUCCAAAGAAGCGAAAAAGACCGACUGUGUCCUUACUGACCUCGAUGAAGAACAUCGUCUACAAGGAAGUCCUUACAGGCUGA
rnacentral:rRNA from 1 species